UACAGAGGGUGCGAGCGUUAAUCGGAAUUACUGGGCGUAAAGCGCGCGUAGGCGGCUUUGCAAGUCGGGUGUGAAAUCCCCAGGCUUAACCUGGGAACUGCAUUCGAGACUGCAUUGCUAGAGUAUGGGAGAGGGAAGUGGAAUUUCCGGUGUAGCGGUGAAAUGCGUAGAUAUCGGAAGGAACAUCAGUGGCGAAAGCGACUUCCUGGACCAUAACUGACACUCAGGGACGAAAGCUAGGGGAGCGAAUGGG
rnacentral:rRNA from 1 species